rnacentral:rRNA from 1 species
AUUGAACGCUGGCGGCAGGCCUAACACAUGCAAGUCGAACGAGUGGCGGACGGGUGAGUAAUGUCUGGGAAACCGCCCGAUGGAGGGGGAUAACUACUGGAAAAGGUAGAUAAUACCGCAUACCACCAGAUGUGAACAGAUGGGAUUAGCUAGUAGGUGGGGUAACGGUUCACAUAGGGGACGAUCCCUAGCUGGUCUGAGAGGAUGACCAGCCAAACUGGAACUGAGACCCGGUCCAGACUCCUACGGGAGGCAGCAGUGGGGAAUAUUGCACAAUGGGCGCAAGCCUGAUGCAGCCAUGCCGCGUGUAUGAAGAAGGCCUUCGGGUUGUAAAGUACUUUCAGCGGGGAGGCGUUACCCGCAGAAGAAGCACCGGCUAACUCCGUGCCAGCAGCCGCGGUAAUUC